GGAAGGUGUCACCUUCAACAACUUCACAAUUAUUUUUACCUCUGUGUGCUGGGAAAGCUUGUGAAAAGCUGCUCACUGCUCAGGACCUCAGAGGUUGCUGCCCCAAAUCUCAAGAAGAAUCUGACAUCAAGGGGAAUGGGUAACAUACCAAUGAGUUCAGUCUGUCAGGGAUCUACCAGAUCUUGGGCUUUUCUACCUGUGGAAGGAAAACCUCGAGCACAAAGAGCAUUUGAGUACAAGAUCGUUUCCAAAAGUCUCCUACAGGAGGAUGAGCCAAACUGGAAAACUGCAACAUAGACUUCUGUUGACCCUCACACAAGCUCAGCACUGCUUGGGCCACAGCUUUUAAUUUGUCCCAUCUUACUUAUUAUUCCUGAAAAAUAAAAGUAAGCAUUCUAAGAGAUAUUUAAAAUAG
rnacentral:lncRNA from 1 species